rnacentral:lncRNA from 1 species
CCCCCCGUCCUCUCUUGCAGACGUGCAGCCACGUGUCCGUGGUGGAGAGGGACGUGGUGCUGCUGGAUCUCCGAUGACCCUCCUGCCCUGUGCCCUCUCAGGCCCUGCCAGGGACUCUGCCUCUCCUGUAGCAGCUGAUUCCUUCCCUCCAUGCUGUGAUCCCUCCCUGGAGCCCCUGGACCCUCCGUGCCUGCUCCAGGCGUGGGCAGAGGCCAGCUGGGAGCCCAGAGACAGAAGCCAACACUAAAGCAGUUGUUUAACUCCACCCCACGGCCUCCUGGGGAGGUUCUUUGGGACCUGCUGCAGCCCUGAGGUGUGGAAACCUCUCCAGGUGCUUUUGGGACUUGCCCACUUUAACUCUGCCCUGUUCUGUCCCAUUCUGGGCUGCUGGAGCAGAUAAACCUUUCCCAUGGUUCAAACCCAAACCUUGCUGAGCCUUCUGAGCCCCUCACCAGCUCAGGGCUGCUGGGGGUACCUGUGUGUCUGUCUGGGGAGGGGAGAGGGCCCAGGGCAUCCUUUGGGAUCCCUCUGGCAGCGUCUCAGGGCUGGAAAUCCUGAGAUUUGCACCCCAGAUGUGUUUGGGGGUGUCUGGGCACUCAUCCCUUUUCCUGACCUGGUGUUACUGUGGAGGAGCUCGGUCUGGCUGCCACCACUGCUCCAGGAUGGGAUUCCAGCAGCUUUGACCACUCCAGGAUGGGAUUCCAGCAGCUUUGGCCACUUCUGUCCCAAUCCAAGCUGGGAUUUCCAACAGCUUUCACCACUCCCAUCCCACUCCAAGAUGGAAUUUCCAGCAGCUUUGGCCACUUCCCUGCUCCCAGGGGGAGGGAAUCAUUCCAAGGUGCCAGGCAGCUGUUCCAGGCGUGCUGUUGUCCCCAGCAGGAUGGGAUGGGAUGAUGGGAUGGGAUGGGAUAAUGGGAUGGGAUAAUGGGAUGGGAUAAUGGGAUGGGAUGGGAUGUUCAGCACAUGGGGAAGGGGCUGGAGCCCCCCUCCCUCUGCCAUGCAGACAUUUGUGUC